ACCGCAAACCGACACAGGUAGUCGAGGAGAGAAUCCUAAGGUGUGCGAGAGAACUCUCGUUAAGGAACUCGGCAAAAUGACCCCGUAACUUCGGGAGAAGGGGUGCUCUUGAGCGUGCAAGCGCAUGAGAGCCGCAGUGAAUAGGCCCAGGCGACUGUUUAGCAAAAACACAGGUCUCUGCAAAACCGUAAGGAGACGUAUAGGGGCUGACGCCUGCCCGGUGCUGGAAGGUUAAGAGGAGUGGUUAGCGCAAGCGAAGCUGCGAAUUGAAGCCCCAGUAAACGGCGGCCGUAACUAUAACGGUCCUAAGGUAGCGAAAU
rnacentral:rRNA from 1 species